GGGCUUGACAUCCCACGAACCUUCCCGAAAGGGUUGGGUGCCCGCAAGGGAGCGUGGAGACAGGUGGUGCAUGGCUGUCGUCAGCUCGUGUCGUGAGAUGUUGGGUUAAGUCCCGCAACGAGCGCAACCCUCACCCCUUGUUGCCACCGGGUAAUGCCGAGCACUCUAGGGGAACUGCUAGCGUUAAGCUGGAGGAAGGUGGGGAUGACGUCAAGUCAUCAUGCCCCUUACGCCCUGGGCUACACACGUGCUACAAUGGCCGGUACAAAGGGAUGCAAGACCGCGAGGUGGAGCUAAUCCCAAAAAGUUGGUCUAAGUUCAGAUUGCAGUCUGCAACUCGACUGCAUGAAGGAGGAAUCGCUAGUAAUCGCGCAUCAGCCCGGCGCGGUGAAUACGUUCCCGGGCCUUGUACACACCGCCCGUCACACCACGAAAGCUGGCUGUACUCGAAGUCGCUGAG
rnacentral:rRNA from 1 species